CUACGGGUGGCUGCAGUGGGGAAUAUUGCGCAAUGGGCGAAAGCCUGACGCAGCGACGCCGCGUGGAGGAUGAAGGUUUUCGAAUUGUAAACUCCUGUUAAGUGGGAAGAAAGACCUGUAAAUAAUAAGUGCAGAGGAUGACGGUACCACUAGAGAAAGCUCCGGCUAACUUCGUGCCAGCAGCCGCGGUAAGACGAAGGGAGCAAGCGUUAUUCGGAAUUACUGGGCGUAAAGAGCGUGUAGGCGGUUGAUUAAGUUAGUUGUUAAAUUCCUUGGCUUAACUGGGGACCAGCAAUUAAUACUGAUUAACUAGAGGGCAAGAGAGAGAAGUGGAAUUCUCGGAGUAGCGGUAAAAUGCAUAGAUCUCGAGAGGAACACCGGUGGCGAAGGCGGCUUCUUGGCUUGUCUCUGACGCUAAAGCGCGAAAGCGUGGGGAGCAAACAGGAUUAGAUACCCCCGUAGUC
rnacentral:rRNA from 1 species